rnacentral:tRNA from 1 species
AGACUAAUCACUUUUUAGACAUAAGUGUGGUGCUGAUAACACCAAGGUCACGGGUUCGAUCCCCGUUCGGUCCC